AGGACACUGCUGCGGUCAAAGGAUCAGCUAUGUCUGUUGUGAAGAGUUGGAAUAUCUUCAGUUAAAGUGGCGGAUUGCUGUCACUGCCAUCUGCUCACCUGGCGAUCACUGCAGCCAGCCUGCUUCUCUCUUCGGUCCUACUGAACAUUCUCUGGAAUGAAAAUAAAGCAUUUAACAUGGAGCCGGGCCGCCUGUAUAGGAUAUUACCAAAGCCCAUUAUCU